UACGUAGGGUGCGAGCGUUUGUCCGGAAUUAUUGGGCGUAAAGAGCUCGUAGGCGGUCUGUCGCGUCUGCUGUGAAAACUCAGGGCUUAACCCUGAGCUUGCAGUGGGUACGGGCAGACUAGAGUGCGGUAGGGGAGACUGGAAUUCCUGGUGUAGCGGUGAAAUGCGCAGAUAUCAGGAGGAACACCCAGAGUGGCGAAAGGCAG
rnacentral:rRNA from 1 species